UCCUUAGUUUAUGAGCCGCUAGCGCGGACAGGGCACCCUCCCUGUGUGUGUAAGUGGAAAAUGGGUGGGGGGGGGGCAGUCUAAACAUUCCACCUCACCCCCUAGGGUACCCCAGCAUAUUACAUGUACGUACAUUAUGGUUCAACAACCUGCAGGUAUUUAGAGAAAUGGAAUAUUUACAUGCAUGAAAAUCCAUCUAAACAAUGCCCACUAGAAGGUACUUCAAUCUAGAUAAGAUCAUACAUCUAAGAGGAGCGUUUAAUCACCAAAAAGCCCUGACACAGGGUGAGCAAAUUUGUCUAUUGAGGAAAGGAACGGGUUAAUUUAAAAAUCAUCUUGGCCCAGGGAUGGAAGGGGGGGAUUGCUCUGCGUUCAAGGUCCAGAAUCAAAGCAGACUAUGCUAAGUACAAAGAAAAACUGCUUUCGGCCCCAGCUGGCUGUGAAGGAAAAAAAUGUAGACAGAGGCGAACCGAAGGCAAUACAAGUUACAGAACUAAGAUUACAUUUGCAAAGCUUAACUGUCCAGUAAGAUCCAACAGUGUGCCUUUGUGACCCCGGAGCCAGUGUGGCUUGGUGACACUGAAGAAGCCGCAGGCAGCUGACCUGGACUGGAAUCUCUGAAAGAGACGCUGCAGAAGAUUCCAGGGUGCAAGAGAACAGCCCUCCAAAGAGCGGAAGCAUGUUAGAAAUUCUGGACAAGCUGUAUACAGGAUAAUCUCCAGUCUACCUCUCCCCCCUUCUCUGAACAUUAUACACAGAAGUGGCCAGUCUGGACAUAAUCAGAGAAAACUGAUGCCAGCUGAACAGCAUUCAACGUACCAUGCAUUUACUGGCACAAUAGGAAUCAUGUUUUGUGUUCUAUGUUCUGUCCUGUGGUGUUUGCCUUGUGGCCGGAAUUUUUGUGUUUAAUAUUUUUAUAAAAUAGUCUAGUUUAAAAUCAAACAAAAAGGUUAAAUUAAAAUGCAGAUAUUUGUUUUGUUCAACUUGGAAUACAAAGUGUUUGGAUAAAUCAGGAGAAUGUGAUAUACUAAAGUCUAAUGCAUUUCCUCAAGAAAAAGAAAUUUCAUUGGCCAAACUGUUAAUUGCAAAAUUGUUGUUAAAAUUUGCAUACCAACAGUCUUUGAAAGCAAAGACAUGAAAAGUUAACCCACUCCCUAUAUUGUACAUGGGAUCUUUCUGGCUACCUCAGAUUUCUAGCCAGAGGGCUGGGGAUGGUGCAAGGCUAUUGGACUAGAGGUUGUAUUGAGUUAACUCCUCAAAGUGGGUAUGCUUGUCCUGGCUUGUUGCUCCAAAGCUCUGUAAUAAGGUUAUUUUAGUAAAAGGGUGUGUGUGGCAUAUAUUAAAUAAAAAGACUAAUGUACUGUAUAAUGACAAUGUUUAUGUCUUCAUUGUUAGGAAGAAGGUGUAUAAGUAAAAAGUGGAAGUUUCCUUUGCAGGUUAAAAGAAGCCAAGAAGGGAAGAAGGACAAAGAACAGAAUGAAUUAACUGAAAAAAAUAAAAUAAAAUAGCAAGCUCAGGCUAUAGAUAAGACACUGACUCCAUUCAAGAACACUGCUCACAGUUAAGACUUGGCUAACAACCAGGAAAAGGAGGGCUUGAAUUUGCCCACGUAGCUAUGAGAUUUGCAAAACAUUGCCAGGCACUAAUGAAAUGUGUUAAGUUUCUUUUCUCACAGGUAAAGAAGCGCUACCCAAAGACCCUAGCAGCCCUGCCACUCUUUGGAACCAGGAGACGGGAUUGAUGUAAAGGUCCACCGACGAAAGUCUGCUCUGGCUCCACCCUGGAAAGGCCCUUAAGUCCCGGUGACUACCAACAUCUCUGUAAAAUGUCAAAGACUGACUGCAUGGACCCAAGAUUCUCACUGCAAAAAGACCCCUCCACAUCGGGAGAAUUCUCCUACUGAUGAUUAGCCUAUUUCACCUUCUAGUUCCACUGUGCCUUCUGGACAGUAGGGAAAAAGUACAAGGAUGCUGCACCACGACUGUUUUGGGAAAGAAGAAGGAACACUCGCUCCACUGAAAUUGCCAAAGUCCAGAAAUUCCUGACUAGAAAGGACAUAAGGAACUGACCCUGGUGAAGAAACAAAGAAUUAUACACUGGUGGGAGGACAUUUGUGGGACCCAUGUUUGGGAAUGUGGUAUUAAUUGGAUUUUGGGGUUUAUUCUACAGGCUGCGCCCUGUGUUUUGGAUAAAUCCUUCAGCAUAUAUAUAUAUAUCUCUAAUUGGAUUUUAAAUAACAAGUACCGAAAGAGUUUGUUCUGCUACUAGAAAUUUUACCCGUAUUGAAACCAUUCCAGUGACUAAUAAUGUAUGCUAUUAAUGGAAAUGCCUUUUGACAGUACCUGAGAAUAGUUAAAUAACAGGUGUAUUAUAGUACUACACCAAGAAAAGAUGGUAUUAAAUAUAACUGAGGCUGGGAAGGCA